UACGUAGGGUGCGAGCGUUAAUCGGAAUUACUGGGCGUAAAGCGUGCGCAGGCGGUUCGUUAAGUUCGUUGUGAAAGCCCCGGGCUCAACCUGGGAACUGCCUUUGAAACUAGAACGCUAGAAUCUUGGAGAGGUACUGGUGAAUUCCGAGUGUAGAGGUGAAAUUCGUAGAUAUUCGGAAGAACACCAGUGGCGAAGGCGACUGACUGGACAAGUAUUGACGCUGAGGUGACGAAGCGGUGGGGAGCAAACAGG
rnacentral:rRNA from 1 species